rnacentral:rRNA from 1 species
AGAGUUUGAUCCUGGCUCAGGAUAAACGCUGGCGGCGUGCCUAAUACAUGCAAGUCGGACGAAGGAUUUUUGUAGCAAUACGAAAAUUCUUAGUGGCGAAUGGGUGAGUAACGCGUUGGUGACCUGCCCCGAAGCGGGGAAUAACUCCGGGAAACUGGAGCUAAUACCGCAUGUGGUCAUACGAACCAGAACAGUAUGUCUAAAGGACUUCGGUUCGCUUCGGGAGGGGCCUGCGUUCCAUCAGCUAGUUGGUAGGGUAAUGGCCUACCAAGGCGACGACGGAUAGGGGGCCUGAGAGGGUGGCCCCCCACACUGGCACUGAAACACGGGCCAGACACCUACGGGUGGCAGCAGUAGGGAAUAUUGCACAAUGGGCGAAAGCCUGAUGCAGCAACGCCGCGUGCGCGAUGAAGGCCUUCGGGUUGUAAAGCGUUUUUCUGAAGGAAGAGGAAGGACGGUACUUCAGGAAUAAGGAUCGGCUAACUACGUGCCAGCAGCCGCGGUAAUACGUAGGAUCCGAGCGUUAUCCGAAUUUACUGGGCGUAAAGCGCGUGUAGGCGGUUUGGUAAGUUGGAUGUGAAAGCUCCCGGCUCAACUGGGAGAGGCCGUUCAAAACUACCAGACUAGAGGACGGUAGAGGGAGGUGGAAUUCCCGGUGUAGUAGUGAAAUGCGUAGAUAUCGGGAGGAACACCAGUGGCGAAAGCGGCCUCCUGGACCGUUCCUGACGCUCAGACGCGAAAGCUAGGGGAGCAAACGGGAUUAGAAACCCCGGUAGUCCUAGCUGUAAACGAUGUAGACUUGGCGUCGGUGGGGUAAAAUCCAUCGGUGCCGUAGCUAACGCGAUAAGUCUACCGCCUGGGGACUACGGCCGCAAGGUUAAAACUCAAAGGAAUUGACGGGUCCCCGCACAAGCAGCGGAGCGUGUGGUUUAAUUCGUUGCUACGCGAAAAACCUUACCCAGGUUUGACAUAUAGGUGGUAGGAAGCCGAGAGGUGACCGACCCUUCGGGGAGCCUAUACAGGUGCUGCAUGGCUGUCGUCAGCUCGUGUCGUGAGAUGUNNAACGAGCGCAACCCUCGUCGUAUGUUACAUGUGUCAUACGAGACCGCUGGUAUAAAGCCGGAGGAAGGUGAGGAUGACGUCAAGUCAGCAUGGCCUUUAUAUCUGGGGCUACACACACGCUACAAUGGUCGGUACAAUGGGUCGCAAAGCCGCAAGGUGGAGCCAAUCCUCAAAGCCGGCCUCAGUUCAGAUUGUAGGCUGCAACCCGCCUACAUGAAGUCGGAGUUGCUAGUAAACGCGCGUCAGCAUUAGUGCGUUGAAUACGUUCCCGGGGAUUGUACACACCGCCCGUCACGUCAUGGGAGCUGGCAACACCUGAAGCCGGUAUUCUAACCCGCAAGGGAGGAAGCUGUCUAAGGUGGGGCUGGUGACUGGGACGAAGUCGUAACAAGGUAGGUGUACCGGAAGGUGCGCCUG